ACCCUUACCUUGACGGGUUACAUGGCCGAUCAAGAAGAGUCAUGGCCUAGGCUAGUGGCUAACAUUGCACUUGGUUGGUGCGCUAACCUGUCAUCUCCCCGAAGGAAGAAUGAAUGUCAUAAUUUAUAAUAGAGGGGAUACGCGUUAGUCAAUUUUUA
rfam:Hordeum vulgare subsp. vulgare, WGS project CAJW01000000 data, contig: morex_contig_47757